rnacentral:rRNA from 1 species
GAUGAACGCUGGCGGCGUGCUUAACACAUGCAAGUCGAACGGUGAAAGCGGAGCUUGCUCUGCUGGAUCAGUGGCGAACGGGUGAGUAACACGUGAGCAAUCUGCCCUUGACUCUGGGAUAAGCGUUGGAAACGACGUCUAAUACCGGAUACGAGCUGCGAAGGCAUCUUCAGCAGCUGGAAAGAACUUCGGUCAAGGAUGAGCUCGCGGCCUAUCAGCUAGUUGGUGAGGUAAUGGCUCACCAAGGCGUCGACGGGUAGCCGGCCUGAGAGGGUGACCGGCCACACUGGGACUGAGACACGGCCCAGACUCCUACGGGAGGCAGCAGUGGGGAAUAUUGCACAAUGGGCGCAAGCCUGAUGCAGCAACGCCGCGUGAGGGACGACGGCCUUCGGGUUGUAAACCUCUUUUAGCAGGGAAGAAGCGAAAGUGACGGUACCUGCAGAAAAAGCACCGGCUAACUACGUGCCAGCCGCCGCAGUAAAAC